GACGAACGCUGGCGGCGUGCUUAACACAUGCAAGUCGAACGGAAAGGCCCUGCUUUUGUGGGGUGCUCGAUUGGCGAACGGGUGAGUAACACGUGAGUAACCUGCCCUUGUCUUUGGGAUAACUUCAGGAGACUGGGGCUCAUACCGGAUAGAAGCUCCUGAUGCGUGGUGGGGGUUGGAGAGUUUCGGCGGUAGGGGAUGGACUCGCUGCUUAUCAGCUAGUUGGUGGGGUAGUCGCUUACCAAGGCUGUGACGGGUAGCCGGCCUGAGAGGGUGACCGGGGACAAGGGGACUGAGAUACGCCGCAGAAGCGUACGGGCGGCAGUAGGGGGGAACAUGGCACAACGGCGGCAAGUCUGAUACAGAAGUGCUGCGAGCGGGAUGCUGGGUUAUGGGUUGUAAACAGAUUUCGAAUGAGACGAAGAGUGAUUGACGGUAACGGGUAAAGAAGCACCGGCUAACUACGUG
rnacentral:rRNA from 1 species